CAGGGAAUCUUGCGCAAUGGGCGAAAGCCUGACGCAGCGACACCGCGUGGGGGAAGAAGGCCUCAGGGUUGUAAACCCCUUUUCUGGAGGAAGAGAUAGGACGGUACUUCAGGAAUAAGCAUCGGCUAACUACGUGCCAGCAGCCGCGGUAAUACGUAGGAUGCAAGCGUUGUCCGGAUUUACUGGGCGUAAAGGGUGUGUAGGCGGCAUGUUAAGUCUUAUGUGAAAUCUCCCGGCUCAACUGGGAGGGGUCAUGGGAAACUGGCAAGCUUGAGGGCAGCAGAGGAAAGCGGAAUUCCGGGAGUAGUGGUGGAAUGCGUAGAUACCCGGAGGAACACCAGAGGCGAAGGCGGCUUUCUGGGCUGUGCCUGACGCUGAGACACGAAAGCGUGGGGAGCAAACCGG
rnacentral:rRNA from 2 species